AGAUUUUAACUAGAAUUCCUUAAAGCAUGUCUAAAUAAUACUUCUACAUGAGAAGGAAUAGUGUAUGGAUGCUUCAGGGGCGCCUGAGUGGCUCAGUGG